AGUGAACGCUGGCGGUAUGCCUAACACAUGCAAGUCGAACGGCAGCACAGUAAGAGCUUGCUCUUACGGGUGGCGAGUGGCGGACGGGUGAGGAAUACAUCGGAAUCUACUUUUUCGUGGGGAUAACGUAGGGAAACUUACUCUAAUACCGCAUACUACCUACGGGUGAAAGCAGGUGAUCUUCGGACCUUUCGCGGUUGAAUGAGCCGAUGUCGGAUUAGCUAGUUGGCGGGGUAAAGGCCCACCAAGGCGACGAUCCGUAGCUGGUCUGAGAGGAUGAUCAGCCACACUGGAACUGAGACACGGUCCAGACUCCUACGGGAGGCAGCAGUGGGGAAUAUUGGACAAUGGGCGAAAGCCUGAUCCAGCCAUACCGCGUGGGUGAAGAAGGCCUUCGGGUUGUAAAGCCCUUUUGUUGGGAAAGAAAAGAAGCAGGUUAAUCCCCCGCUGUUCUGACGGUACCCAAAGAAUAAGCACCGGCUAACUUCGUG
rnacentral:rRNA from 1 species